rnacentral:rRNA from 2 species
ACGAACUCUGGUAUUGAUUGGUGCUUGCAUCAUGAUUUACAUUUGAGUGAGUGGCGAACUGGUGAGUAACACGUGGGAAACCUGCCCAGAAGCGGGGGAUAACACCUGGAAACAGAUGCUAAUACCGCAUAACAACUUGGACCGCAUGGUCCGAGUUUGAAAGAUGGCUUCGGCUAUCACUUUUGGAUGGUCCCGCGGCGUAUUAGCUAGAUGGUGGGGUAACGGCUCACCAUGGCAAUGAUACGUAGCCGACCUGAGAGGGUAAUCGGCCACAUUGGGACUGAGACACGGCCCAAACUCCUACGGGAGGCAGCAGUAGGGAAUCUUCCACAAUGGACGAAAGUCUGAUGGAGCAACGCCGCGUGAGUGAAGAAGGGUUUCGGCUCGUAAAACUCUGUUGUUAAAGAAGAACAUAUCUGAGAGUAACUGUUCAGGUAUUGACGGUAUUUAACCAGAAAGCCACGGCUAACUACGUGCCAGCAGCCGCGGUAAUACGUAGGUGGCAAGCGUUGUCCGGAUUUAUUGGGCGUAAAGCGAGCGCAGGCGGUUUUUUAAGUCUGAUGUGAAAGCCUUCGGCUCAACCGAAGAAGUGCAUCGGAAACUGGGAAACUUGAGUGCAGAAGAGGACAGUGGAACUCCAUGUGUAGCGGUGAAAUGCGUAGAUAUAUGGAAGAACACCAGUGGCGAAGGCGGCUGUCUGGUCUGUAACUGACGCUGAGGCUCGAAAGUAUGGGUAGCAAACAGGAUUAGAUACCCUGGUAGUCCAUACCGUAAACGAUGAAUGCUAAGUGUUGGAGGGUUUCCGCCCUUCAGUGCUGCAGCUAACGCAUUAAGCAUUCCGCCUGGGGAGUACGGCCGCAAGGCUGAAACUCAAAGGAAUUGACGGGGGCCCGCACAAGCGGUGGAGCAUGUGGUUUAAUUCGAAGCUACGCGAAGAACCUUACCAGGUCUUGACAUACUAUGCAAAUCUAAGAGAUUAGACGUUCCCUUCGGGGACAUGGAUACAGGUGGUGCAUGGUUGUCGUCAGCUCGUGUCGUGAGAUGUUGGGUUAAGUCCCGCAACGAGCGCAACCCUUAUUAUCAGUUGCCAGCAUUAAGUUGGGCACUCUGGUGAGACUGCCGGUGACAAACCGGAGGAAGGUGGGGAUGACGUCAAAUCAUCAUGCCCCUUAUGACCUGGGCUACACACGUGCUACAAUGGAUGGUACAACGAGUUGCGAACUCGCGAGAGUAAGCUAAUCUCUUAAAGCCAUUCUCAGUUCGGAUUGUAGGCUGCAACUCGCCUACAUGAAGUCGGAAUCGCUAGUAAUCGCGGAUCAGCAUGCCGCGGUGAAUACGUUCCCGGGCCUUGUACACACCGCCCGUCACACCAUGAGAGUUUGUAACACCCAAAGUCGGUGGGGUAACCUUU